rnacentral:lncRNA from 1 species
ACAGCCGCGGGAGGCCGUGCUCGUGCUUUGGAGCUCCAUGUGAUGUGGUCGGUGGAAGACGUCUCCUUUGUCAGAAUCCGCGCUCAGAUUCCCGGAAUAGCUGCCAGACCGACCCCAGCGUUUAGCCCGGGAAGGGGAGGUAGGAGAGAGCAGGGCGGGCAGGAUCCUCCCACUGGGUGUGUUGCCUCUGACAGGAAGGCGCCUUCCCUCGAUUCCCCAUGCUCUGCCACUGGCACCAGCCCUCUUGAGUCACCCUGAGAAUCACUCACCUGUGAUUCAGAUGAGGAAACAAACCUUAGAGAUGGUGAAGAGACUAGGAAGCCGUAAAGACCAUAUAGCCGUGGGGGCCAAUAACAUGGGCGGGAACCCAAUUGGGUCUCCCACCUCCGUGUAUCCACGACAGUAAAAGCGAGCAUUUAUGGAGUUGUUUAUGAUGUGCCAAGCACCAACCCAGGCACUUUAUAAUUAAUAAUCUUCAAUUCUCACAACAACCCUAAGAAGUACCUAUUAUAUUGGGGCUCAGAAAUCCAUACCCAAAAUAUGGUGGUUUGACUUACUAAGUUAAGCCUUAAGGUGUGUCUGGCCUUCCUACUCCCGCGCCCUCUCUCCCAAAGCCGUUACCUAGCGUCCAGACCCAUCAAAAGGAACAACGGUUUUUUUCUUCCCCUCCCUACAAAACCAAGAAUAUAAUCACACCUGAACAGACCCCUUCACAUGAUAAUGUGCUAGUUAAUCUGUUCCCUGAUCCAUUCCUUCUCCCUCAGCAGAAUUCCUCUUCCCCUCACUCCCACAACCCCCUUUGCCUGAAUGACACCUAAGCUUCUGAACUCGUCUGGGAAGUGGGUAGUCACUCUGUGGUUCCCCGUGGACACAUUAAUACAAUUUCUAUGCCUUUUCUUCAAUUAAUCUGUUUUUUGUGGGUUGAUUUUUCAGCAGAAUUUCAGAGGGCGAAGGGAAAGUUUCCCUUGGUCCCUGCAAAUACUAUUAUUACCCUCCUUUACAGAUAGGAUGAGGCACAAAGAAGUUAAGUGGCAGAAUAGCAAUUAAACCCUAAGCUGUUUGACGAGUGCUUCUGAGGAAUCCUCAGAGCUAUCAAGUCCUGUCAGUUCUUUCCUUUGAUAAUUUUUUACAAGUGUUUUUUCCCCCCAGUUCUGGGGACAUCAUCUCAGAUAGAGUACUCACAGUAAUAAUUAGCAUGCAUUUUUAAGAUUAUGUACUAUGAAAAACAAAACAAAACAAAACCUUUUUAUCUAAGGAAGAUGAGCCCCUUUAAAUUAUCAGGCCCAGACAGGCAUUUAAAAUGUAGCAACAGUCACUCUCACUCUUCUUUGAGCUAAGUAAUUAUCUCUUGAAACCACUUGCUAUGCCAAGUAGCCAUUAAAUGCCAUACACCUUAUAGUUCAACAAUGUAUAGCCAAGCGCUAAACAAUGUAUAACCAGUGUUAUUUCUGUAAACAAUGAGAAUUCCUGAUGAACAACUUUUGUAUUCAUUUCCUCUCCUAAUUCAUCUUUUUUUCUUUGAAAAUAUGAGCCUCUCUUUUGUUGUCCAGAGUGCUCCCCCAAGACAACUUGCAAGUGUGUCCUGGGUCGCAGUCCUCAACCUUGGCCCUUGGCCCGAAUAACCCUCUGUAGGUACUUUUCUGAGGACUCUGCCUUACGUUAAUCCUCACAACAAAUUUGGAAGUCGGUAUUAUAAUUAUCCCCAUUUUACGGAGAAGGAAAGUAGGAUUAAGUAAGUGGCUCAAGAUCCCACAGCUAGCUAGUAAGUGCUGGAACUGGAAUUUGGAUGUGUCAAGCAAAACAUGUCUGAGACAGGUCUCAAUCAAUUUAGAGGUUUAUUUUGCCAAGGUUAAGGACAUGGCUGGAAGAAAUAAACACGGAAUCGCAGAAACAGUCUGUGGUCUGUGGCUUUCUCCAAAGAUGAUUUUGAGGGCUUCAAUAUUUAAAGGGGAAAAGUGAGCUGGAGGGAAAGAAGAAGGGUAUGGUAAUCCACAUGUCGCAAGAGAAAAGGAGCAGGUAGGGAGAUACUCAAUUAUGUGUUCGUCUGGCACUUUACAUAAGAUAAAGUAAAUAUGCCUGUGGAGAUAUUUAACCUUUUGUGUUUUUUUUGUUUUUUUUUUUUUGAGACAGAGUUUUCGCUGUUGUUGACCAGGCUGGAGUGCAAUGGCGCAAUCUCGGCUCACCACAACCUCUGCCUCCCGGGUUCAAGUGAUUCUCCUGCCUCAGCCUACUGAGUAGCUGGGAUUACAGGCAUGUGCCACCACACCCGGCUAAUUUUGUAAAUAUUUAACCUUUUGUCUGUAGCUAUCUGCUUAGGAACAAAAGGAAAGGCAGCUUCUUGCAUGACUCAGUUUUCAGUUUAUUUUUUUUCCUUUUGGCAUAGUCAACUGGAGUCCUGAGUUUUUAUUUUCCUUUCACAAAUGCAACAUUCUGGCUCUAUUCUUUGCUGUGUGGGGACCCAUUCAGAACACCAGAGUUGGUAUAACAAUUAUUUUAAGCCGAAGACAUUUCAGAUUCAAUAGAUGCAGAAAUAAACCUUCUGGGAGCUUUCUUCAUCUGAUUAAAACUUCUGGGAAAUGUCAACCUAAAGGGAAAAAUCUAAGGCAAACUUGAUAUAAGUAGAGAGUUUAUUUGGGCCAAGUUUGAAGACUGUGAAGCGAAGAUUCAAGUUGCCCUGAGUAUAUGCUCCCAAUUAGCAGAAGUCACAAGUGGGUUUUUAAAGGAGAAGAAGAGGCAGUUCCUAAUGAGGACUAAGCUCUGAUUUUUUCUUAUCUUGCUCAAAUUCCUAUCGAAAGGGUCUGGGGAGUCAUGCCCUACAAACCAUAAAUUCUUAUCAGUUGGGUUUUAUUUAACACUAUAUAUUGUGACUGCCUUUUCAGUCAUACUCUGGCAUAAAAUUACGUGAUAAAGAAGAAAGUCAAAAUAUUUUACCCCAA